GACGAACGCUGGCGGCGUGCUUAACACAUGCAAGUCGAGCGGAAAGGCCCUUUCGGGGGUACUCGAGCGGCGAACGGGUGAGUAACACGUGAGUAAUCUGCCCCUGGCUUUGGGAUAGCCACCGGAAACGGUGAUUAAUACCGGAUAUGACCACGUCUCGCAUGGGGUGUGGUGGAAAGUUUUUCGGCCAGGGAUGUGCUCGCGGCCUAUCAGCUUGAUGGUGAGGUAAUGGCUCACCAUGGCUUCGACGGGUAGCCGGCCUGAGAGGGUGACCGGUCACACUGGGACUGAGACACGGCCCAGACUCCUACGGGAGGCAGCAGUGGGGAAUAUUGGACAAUGGGCGGAAGCCUGAUCCAGCAACGCCGCGUGAGGGAUGACGGCCUUCGGGUUGUAAACCUCUUUCAGCAGGGACGAAGCGCAAGUGACGGUACCUGCAGAAGAAGCACCGGCCAACUACGUGCCAGCAGCCGCUGUAACAC
rnacentral:rRNA from 1 species